AGCUGGAUAGCUCAGGCAGUAGAGCACUUGCCCUGUUAGCGAGAGGUCCCGGGUUCGAUCCCUGGUCUGGUAG
rnacentral:tRNA from 1 species